CCUACGGGAGGCUGCAGUGGGGAAUAUUGGACAAUGGGGGGAACCCUGAUCCAGCCAUGCCGCGUGUGUGAAGAAGGCCCUCGGGUUGUAAAGCACUUUCAGUGAGGAAGAACGCCUGGUGGUUAAUACCCAUCAGGAAAGACAUCACUCACAGAAGAAGCACCGGCUAACUCCGUGCCCGCAGCCGCGGUAAUACGGAGGGUGCGAGCGUUAAUCGGAAUUACUGGGCGUAAAGCGCGCGUAGGUGGCUUGAUAAGCCGGUUGUGAAAGCCCCGGGCUCAACCUGGGAACGGCAUCCGGAACUGUCAAGCUAGAGUGCAGGAGAGGAAGGUAGAAUUCCCGGUGUAGCGGUGAAAUGCGUAGAGAUCGGGAGGAAUACCAGUGGCGAAGGCGGCCUUCUGGACUGACACUGACACUGAGGUGCGAAAGCGUGGGUAGCAAACAGGAUUAGAUACCCCUGUAGUC
rnacentral:rRNA from 1 species